CUACGUGCCAGCAGCCGCGGUAAUACGGAGGGUGCGAGCGUUAAUCGGAAUAACUGGGCGUAAAGGGCACGCAGGCGGUUAUUUAAGUGAGGUGUGAAAGCCCCGGGCUUAACCUGGGAAUUGCAUUUCAGACUGGGUAACUAGAGUACUUUAGGGAGGGGUAGAAUUCCACGUGUAGCGGUGAAAUGCGUAGAGAUGUGGAGGAAUACCGAAGGCGAAGGCAGCCCCUUGGGAAUGUACUGACGCUCAUGUGCGAAAGCGUGGGGAGCAAACAGGAUUAGAUACCCUGGUAGUCCACGCUGUAAACGCUGUCGAUUUGGGGAUUGGGCUUAAAGCUUGGUGCCCGUAGCUAACGUGAUAAAUCGACCGCCUGGGGAGUACGGCCGCAAGGUUAAAACUCAAAUGAAUUGACGGGGGCCCGCACAAGCGGUGGAGCAUGUGGUUUAAUUCGAUGCAACGCGAAGAACCUUACCUACUCUU
rnacentral:rRNA from 1 species